GAUGGAAGCAGAUGUGACCGUUA
rnacentral:siRNA from 1 species